AUGUGUGGUUUCGCCCCUGGAGCCGAAGAUGGUUAGUUCCAGGACAAACUUCCUGGUUCUAACCAGGAGGAGAGCCAACUGGAAGUUUUAGUAAAGCCUCUGUGAUAACAUAUUUAAGAAAAAAGAGGAAGAGAAGGUUGUUGCGCAGAAGAAAUUCGAGCCAGGAGGGUGGCAGAGGAAGCUGCCAGGGCCCGGGGGCCCGGCCUUGCGGCCCGUGGCCUGGGACAGGCACGGUGGGCUCUGUGGCCGGGGCUGGAGUGGUUCCCUGCCACUUCCACCCCCUGCACCGCGGGCAGGGGCAGCAGCGAUAGCCCAGGGUGAUAGCUGGCCCAGGGGCAGGCACGGCGCUAGAGCCGAGCCUGGGCCGGGGCCAGGACCAGAGUGUGCGGCCCCAUAGCACCCCCAUGGGCCCAUCCCGGCCGAGCUGCCUGUGCUGCUUUCAGCAGUGCCGGCUGAGCCGAGCGGCAGCCCCUGCAAAGGGGUGGCCGGGGCUGGGGCAAGGGCGUGCGGCAGCGCACAGAGCGGCCCCACAGCCCCCUCCGGGCCCACCCCGGCCGCAGGCUAGGCCAGGGCGGCAGAGCGGCCCUGCCGGCGGGCAUUCGUUCCCCUUCCCAUCCCGUCUGAGCCAAGACGGGCCGGGGCGGCCUUGCCGGCGCAGCCGCGUCCGAGAUGGAACAAGUGGCUGCAUGGAAAUGAAAGAGCACUGCUGCCCUUAUGGAAAGCCCAGGAGGGAAUGGAGUUCUUUGGAAGACUCUGUGGCCCAUGGAGAGAGAAGCCAUGCUGGAGCAGUUUGUUCUGGCUCUUCGCAAAUUUUCGUGGGAGUUUAAAAUCCGGCCAGAGUCAACCCAUGGCAUAACAGUUGCUUCAAAAGAAAGCACAAGUAUUCCUGCAGCAUAUGGCUUAAGGAGAGAAAAAUCAUUCAAUAAAAGUCUCCUUUAACUAAGAGAA